AGAGUUUGAUCCUGGCUCAGAGCGAACGCUGGCGGCGUGCCUAACACAUGCAAGUCGAACGCUGAACUCCUGAAUCUUCGGAUUUGGGAGCUAGGCGUGGCGCACGGGUGAGUAACGCGUGGAUAACCUGCCCACGAGUGGGGAAUAACCCCGGGAAACUGGGGCUAAUACCGCAUAAUCUUUUCCUGACACCGGUCAGGAAAGGCAAAGCCCGCAAGGGCGCUGGUGGAGGGAUCCGCGUCUGAUCAGCUAGUUGGUGAGGUAACGGCUCACCAAGGCAGAGACCGGUAGCCGGUCUGAGAGGACGAUCGGCCACACUGGAACUGAGACACGGUCCAGACUCCUACGGGAGGCAGCAGUGAGGAAUAUUGCGCAAUGGGGGAAACCCUGACGCAGCGACGCCGCGUGGAGGACGACGCCCUUCGGGGUGUAAACUCCUUUCGACGGGGACGAAUGCCCGCAAGGGUUUGACGGUACCCGUAUAAGAAGCCCCGGCUAACUACGUGCCAGCAGCCGCGGUAAUACGUAGGGGGCAAGCGUUGCUCGGAAUUACUGGGCGUAAAGGGUCCGUAGGCGGUGGGGCAUGUCGGUUGUGAAAUCUCCCGGCUUAACUGGGAGGGUGCGACCGAAACUGCUCCGCUAGAGGGCC
rnacentral:rRNA from 1 species